GACGAACGCUGGCGGCGUGCUUAACACAUGCAAGUCGAACGGAAAGGCCCUGCUUGCAGGGUACUCGAGUGGCGAACGGGUGAGUAACACGUGGGUGAUCUGCCCUGCACUUCGGGAUAAGCCUGGGAAACUGGGUCUAAUACCGGAUAGUAGCCAUUUUUAGUGUGAUGGUUGGAAAGUUUUUUCGGUGUAGGAUGAGCUCGCGGCCUAUCAGCUUGUUGGUGGGGUAAUGGCCUACCAAGGCGGCGACGGGUAGCCGGCCUGAGAGGGUGGACGGCCACAUUGGGACUGAGAUACGGCCCAGACUCCUACGGGAGGCAGCAGUGGGGAAUAUUGCACAAUGGGCGCAAGCCUGAUGCAGCGACGCCGCGUGGGGGAUGACGGCCUUCGGGUUGUAAACUCCUUUCGCUAGGGACGAAGCUUUUUGUGACGGUACCUAGAGAAGAAGCACCGGCUAACUACGCG
rnacentral:rRNA from 1 species